rnacentral:lncRNA from 1 species
CAAAGACCCCCCUGGAGGAACCAUGCUGCCGCAGACAGGCCAUCUCCCCUUCCCCUCCAAGCAGAGGUCUCCCUUUUGCUGCAAUGUGUUCUGGUGUGUUCGGAUUUUUCUGCCAGCCUCCGUUCCCCUUAUCUCCCUUGGAU